rnacentral:rRNA from 1 species
GACGAACGCUGGCGGCGUGCUUAACACAUGCAAGUCGAACGGAAAGGCCCCUUUGGGGGUACUCGAGUGGCGAACGGGUGCGUAACACGUGAGUAACCUGCCCUUGUCUUCGGGAUAACUUCAGGAAACUGGGGCUAAUACCGGAUAGGAAUCCUUGCUGCAUGGUGGGGGUUGGAAAGCUUCGGCGGUUUUGGAUGGACUCGCGGCUUAUCAGCUUGUUGGUGGGGUAGUGGCUUACCAAGGCUUUGUCGGGUGGCCGGCCUGGGAGGGCGACCGGCCACAUUGGGACUGAGAAACGGCCCAGACUCCUACGGGAGGCAGCAGUGGGGAAUAUUGCACAAUGGGCGGAAGCCUGAUGCAGCAAAGCCGCGUGCGGGAUGACGGCCUUAGGGUUGGAAACCGCUUUCAGCAGGGGCGAAGCUUGUGGUGACGGUACCUGCAGAAGAAGCACCGGCUAACUACGUG